UCCCUAUUUCAGAAACACAUUAUUCUUUUUUAUUUGAUCAAAAUGGCUUUUCCAUGCAUUGCACCGACAAAUUACACUGAAGGCAUCAACAGCUUCUCAGCGUGCCCUUUUUUUUCCUUGCUUUUUUUUUUCUGCUGUCGUGGAAGAGACAGAAGCUGAAAAUGAACUUGUGAUCCUUCCCUCCCCCAGCCGUCCCCUCCCGAGAACUCAUUCCUCUAUCAAAGUUCACGCGGCGGCAACAAUGCCUCGUAAGCCGAUGCAGCAAACACAGAAGCUCAAGUAAACGUCAACAUGAGAGCGGGGCGGCGGAGAGAAGGUGCUUCAUUAGUAUGCUUCCUUUAGGCGUUGGGGCAGCACGCAGAUGCGCCGGUGUUGGAGGCGCUCUUGUUGGGGGUGCGGGAGAAGAUGGCCGGGAUUCUGGCGGUGGUCGACGCACGGCGAGAAUCUCAAUGAAGACAUUGGCCCCUCCUAAUUCUCAGAUGGCAAGCCGUGACCUACUUUUUCAGCAAGGCAGGUUCAUGCAAACUUGAUGAUGUUCUCGCAACGCCUGGGGUGAGCCCGGCAAUAUGGAGGCAGAACGGCAAGAGGGCGAAGGGGAGGGGCAAAUUAUGGCACAUGACUGCCGACCCGUUACUUAAUCCGCUCUACCGACUUUCAGUCUGGUUUGGUGCUGCCACAAAAAGGGCAAAAUCCAACUCCCACUCAUGAUAACUUGCUGCAAAAACUAAAACCUGGGCAAGCAAAGUUCUCUUGGACCACAUUCUGGUUACAACCUCCUUCAGGCUCCUUCUACCCAAACUAUUCACAAAAAAACUGGCAGACAUUUUAAUAUCUACUUCUUUCUCGACAUCAACUCACUAAACUUCAGACUUCAAUGGUGGCAUUUUGCACAUCUGUCUUCAUUUCUGUCGUUCUCCUCUUAAACCUUGUUCUCCCAAUAUUCCGCCCCCAAAAGCUAAUUUUCAGGGGUACAUGAAGCCGACUCCAUUAGCGAGAGACUUCAUCUCAGCUCCAUGAUUAUUUGAUGAAGCCCAAUGUGAUAUUAAUCCAAGAUGGCAGCCAUCAAAAAUCUCGCAUUCAAGACUCCCGCACACAUUUUUCCGAGCUAUUUUAGUCGUCCAGACGACGAGGUUCGAGCCUUUGUUUCAUCUUGUGUCCUGCUACUUCUCAUCACAAUCACUACAACUGCGUCUCAAGACCUCAGAAGGCCCCAAAGUAGAUGACGUUCUCGUAGAUUUGAUUGAUUUUGUAUCGUAUCCCGUGCAAGGUGGAAUCGUAAGUUAAAAUCUCGUCGGACAAAAUGUCUACCGAAUCUUAACUGAUCAUCUUAGUUUCAGUAAUUGUUCAAAUGUUCAACACAAGGUAUAAGAAAUAGCGCGUCAAUGCGAUAACAAUCAUAUCUCGUCGGAGUUACAUUGCCGAGCUGAGAAGAGGAAGCCUUGAGAAACAUUCCGUAAUCGACUCGGGCCCUCUAAAUGCAUCACGAUAUUAAAUGGCACUUAAAGCUCCAGUUGCGUGCUUUCCGUCGAGCUAAUUAAGUAUAUUGUGAUCCUGGACAAAUCUAUCAGUCUUCAAACUUAUUCUGGCACAAACUUUCGUCUUGAUUAAGAUAUUUGGAGAGCUGCCCGAGAGCGCUGAAUUUAGAUGUGUGGGAUAUUGUCUGGUCCCGGUCCAAGAUGGAAUAAUUAGAGUUAAGUAAGCAGAUGCUGCUUUUGUCAUUUACUAAUGAGAAGGUGGUUUACUCUUUUACUUUUGAAUUGUUUUUCCAGGUUGCAUUAUUAAUUGUUAUUGAUAUUAUUUUCAGAUAUUUAGAUGUUCUUUCCCAUCUUUUGGAGAUUUAUUUUUCCGAAAUGUUUAUUUUUUUAUUUUUUGAGCGUUUGCCUGGACGAGCAUCAUUUUUGCGAUCGAAGCAAAUAAUCGUAACAGUCACAUGACCUGCAAUCACAUGACCUUGAUCACCGCGCAACCUUGGUCAGAUACUCUUGGCCACUCUUGGAUAAUUUUCCGUUCUCUUUGGAAAGAAACACGGUCUUAUUAUUCCCUCUUUGAGAUCUUUUAUUGAUCAGUGUCCAUGCAAUGUGCACCGACUAAUUGCCUUAAAGAAAAACAAGAAUAAAGGAAUGAACCAUUUACCGAACGGCGUUCGUAUAAAGUGCAGUUUUGUCUUCGCUGAUGCGGUCGAGGCGUUUUAAACACCGCUAAAACCUCGUCGUCGUCUGCAAAUAGUCGCUUGUGAGCCCAUUGUUAGCUUCAAAAGAAUAUAAAACAAAACUCUGCUGGACUAUUUGGUUUCGCUCGUUUGCAAGUACCACACGUGAUGAUGUAAUGUUAAUGAUGUGUGUGACUACAAAUAAAUCCCAGCGGUGUUAUUAUGGGAUGCUGUGUAAUAUUUCUGUACUUUUUUUCCUCGCUCUCUCCCUUUUAUGGCUGAGUUUCCAACUGGGUAUAAAGCAAAUUGAUGUGGUCUCUUUAAACAAGUUUAGUGCAUCAGCGAAGCGGCAUGACAACAAAAUGGUGGCCAUGAUGAGGAUGAUGGAUCAUAAAUCGGUCUACAUCAAACACUAUCACCAAGAUAUUAUAGCAAUGAACAAAGCUUGAAAAUGUAGUGUUAUGAAUAUACAAAGGUCAAAUUAACACACAAUUGCAGACAUGACAUAAAAAUGACAGUUGGCGACUCACACACACAUUGAGCAACUUGAGCGACCGAGAUGCUGCGACGGAAAAUUCCGAAACUGGACAAGGUUUAGUAAUAUGCUUUACUAUCACUUAUUAAACCAUAAAAUCAUAGCGUGAUGGUAAAAAAAAAGAAGGCUGCUCCAAACAAUGAAAGAGUCUGUCGCUAGUAGUCCGCUAUGUCUUACUUGCUUAAAAGUCGGAAAUAAAUGAAAUGACCAACUAUGAUUUGAAAACACUGAACAGCUGAUUUCCUGUCUGUUUUAUUUCAUGCGUUCUUCAGACUUUUAUGUGACUCCAUUUAUCAUGAAUGAUGGCUAAUGAAUUUUACUAAGAUGUCAUACAGGCUAGCCAAGUUAGCACAACACCUAAUCAACCGUUCAUAUUUGUUUUUUUAUCAAUAAACUAUCAAGGAAAUGCAGUCACCUACAGGCUUGUACGAAACCUCGAAAGUUUAAAAAAAAAAUUCAAACCAAUCAAAUUGAUAUCAUAAAAGAAAAUAGCUUCACAAGUACGCCUGAAAAUGGCUGCCUUAAUGCUAAAUGGCUGACGUCCUGUGUUUUGACAUGUUUUGUAAGACUCUAAUCAUAGACAUUAAAUUACCUGUCACCAAGUGAAAUUAGCAUCAUGAGCUUUUUUGAGCCACAUUACUUAACACAUAUGGAACAAUCCAGAUAAGUCAACAUCAGAUGUGUAGGUGUUAAUUAGAAGGCACACAGAAACAACACAUAACCACAACCUGUCUGACUGAAAAUUGUCUUUCUUUAUCUUCAAGUAUCUCCUCCUCCACUUGAAAGAAAGCGCCAUGCUGCCAAACAAAGAACAAACUAUUAUCUGGAUUCACCAUUUUUUCUUUUUGGUGGCCUUUUGGCGACAACGCCGCCAUCAGAGGACCGAGGACGAGUCUUACCGCCGGCGCAUACCGCUUUUUGGGCUGGUUGCUGGGUUUAAAUAAAAGAUGCUCCUUGUAAAAAAAAA